rnacentral:rRNA from 1 species
GAUGAACGCUGGCGGCGUGCCUAAUACAUGCAAGUCGAACGCGCAGCGAAAGGUGCUUGCACCUUUCAAGCGAGUGGCGAACGGGUGAGUAACACGUGGAUAACCUGCCUCAAGGCUGGGGAUAACAUUUGGAAACAGAUGCUAAUACCGAAUAAAACUCAGUGUCGCAUGACACAAAGUUAAAAGGCGCUUUGGCGCCACCUAGAGAUGGAUCCGCGGUGCAUAAGUUAGUUGGUGGGGUAAAGGCCUACCAAGACAAUGAUGCGUAGCCGAGUUGAGAGACUGAUCGGCCACAUUGGGACUGAGACACGGCCCAAACUCCGACGGGAGGCUGCAGUAGGGAAUCUUCCACAAUGGGCGAAAGCCUGAUGGAGCAACGCCGCGUGUGUGAUGAAGGCUUUCGGGUCGUAAAGUACUGUUGUAUGGGAAGAACAGCUAGAAUAGGGAAUGAUUUUAGUUUGACGGUACCAUACCAGAAAGGGACGGCUAAACACGUGCCAGCCGCCGCUGUAA